rnacentral:rRNA from 1 species
UACGUAGGUGGCAAGCGUUGUCCGGAUUUACUGGGCGUAAAGAGCGCGCAGGCGGUCGUUCAAGUCGCGUGUGAAAGCCCCCGGCUCAACUGGGGAGGGUCACGCGAUACUGAUCGACUCGAAGGCAGGAGAGGGUAGUGGAAUUCCCGGUGUAGUGGUGAAAUGCGUAGAUAUCAGGAAGAACACCAACGGCGAAGGCAGCUCGCUGGGGACGGUACUGACGCUGAGACGCGAAAGCGUGGGGAGCGAACAGG